UGGGGAAUUUUGGACAAUGGGCGAAAGCCUGAUCCAGCAAUGCCGCGUGUGUGAAGAAGGCCUUCGGGUUGUAAAGCACUUUUGUCCGGAAAGAAAUCCUUGGCUCUAAUACAGUCGGGGGAUGACGGUACCGGAAGAAUAAGCACCGGCUAACUACGUGCCAGCAGCCGCGGUAAUACGUAGGGUGCAAGCGUUAAUCGGAAUUACUGGGCGUAAAGCGUGCGCAGGCGGUUUGCUAAGACCGAUGUGAAAUCCCCGGGCUCAACCUGGGAACUGCAUUGGUGACUGGCAGGCUAGAGUAUGGCAGAGGGGGGUAGAAUUCCACGUGUAGCAGUGAAAUGCGUAGAGAUGUGGAGGAAUACCGAUGGCGAAGGCAGCCCCCUGGGCCAAUACUGACGCUCAUGCACGAAAGCGUGGGGAGCAAAACAGGAUUAGAUACCCUGGUAGUCCACGCCCUAAACGAUGUCAACUAGUUGUUGGGGAUUCAUUUCCUUAGUAACGUAGCUAACGCGUGAAGUUGACCGCCUGGGGAGUACGGUCGCAAGAUUAAAACUCAAAUGGAAUUGACGGGGUCAUAGCUGUUUCCU
rnacentral:rRNA from 1 species